CCUACGGGAGGCAGCAGUGGGGGAUAUUGCACAAUGGGCGAAAGCCUGAUGCAGCGACGCCGCGUGAGUGAAGAAGUAUUUCGGUAUGUAAAGCUCUAUCAGCAGGGAAGAAAGACCCGCAAGGGAGAUGACGGUACCUGACUAAGAAGCCCCGGCUAACUACGUGCCAGCAGCCGCGGUAAU
rnacentral:rRNA from 1 species